UGGGGAAUAUUGGACAAUGGGCGCAAGCCUGAUCCAGCAAUGCCGCGUGAGUGAAGAAGGUCUUCGGAUUGUAAAGCUCUUUCGACGGGGACGAUGAUGACGGUACCCGUAGAAGAAGCCCCGGCUAACUUCGUGCCAGCAGCCGCGGUAAUACGAAGGGGGCUAGCGUUGCUCGGAAUGACUGGGCGUAAAGGGCGCGUAGGCGGUUCGUACAGUCAGACGUGAAAUUCCCGGGCUCAACCUGGGGGCUGCGUUUGAUACGUACGGGCUUGAGUUCGGAAGAGGGUCGUGGAAUUCCCAGUGUAGAGGUGAAAUUCGUAGAUAUUGGGAAGAACACCGGUGGCGAAGGCGGCGACCUGGUCCGAUACUGACGCUGAGGCGCGAAAGCGUGGGGAGCAAACAGGAUUAGAUACCCUGGUAGUCCACGCCGUAAACGAUGUGUGCUGGACGUUGGGCAGUCUGACUGCUCAGUGUCGUAGCUAACGCGAUAAGCACACCGCCUGGGGA
rnacentral:rRNA from 1 species